CCGGUUAGACUUUAAGGUUAAAUAAAGAAAUAUUGGAAUAAGUUAAAUAAGUAGUUAUAAAAGAUUUGUAGAAAUAAAAGGUGAAAUUAGAUUGUUUCUUUUAAUUUAAUGUUAACUUAAAUUGAAGCUAAAAAUUUUUAGAUUUAAACUAGGAUUAGAUACCCUACUAUACUAAUAAAGUGAAGUUGAGUUCUUGAUUAUUAAUAGAUAUAUUCUUUAAAUUUAAAGAAUUUGGCGGUAAUUUAGUCUUGUCAGAGGAACCUGUUUAUGAAUCGAUAAACCACGUAGUAUCUUACUCAUUUUUGUGUUCAGUUUAUAUACCAUCAUUAUCAGAUAAUUUUAAGAGAAUAAAUUAUUAAUAUUUUAAUGGAAGUUUAAAUUAGAUCAAGGUGUAGCUAAUAAGUGAGUUUAAAUGGGUUACAAUAAAAUAUAUUUAUAACGGAAUAACUAAGGAAGAAGAGUUAAAUAAGGAGGAUUUGAUUGUAAUAUAAAUUUAAUAUGUUUAGGAGAUAUAAGCUCUAAAUUAUGUACAUAUCGCCCGUCGCUUUCAUUAAAUAGAUGAGAUAAGUC
rnacentral:rRNA from 3 species